AGUGAACGCUGGCGGUAGGCCUAACACAUGCAAGUCGAACGGCAGCACAGAGGAGCUUGCUCCUUGGGUGGCGAGUGGCGGACGGGUGAGGAAUACAUCGGAAUCUACUCUGUCGUGGGGGAUAACGUAGGGAAACUUACACUAAUACCGCAUACGACCUACGGGUGAAAGCAGGGGAUCUUCGGACCUUGCGCGAUUGAAUGAGCCGAUGUCGGAUUAGCUAGUUGGCGGGGUAAAGGCCCACCAAGGCGACGAUCCGUAGCUGGUCUGAGAGGAUGAUCAGCCACACUGGAACUGAGACACGGUCCAGACUCCUACGGGAGGCAGCAGUGGGGAAUAUUGGACAAUGGGCGCAAGCCUGAUCCAGCCAUACCGCGUGGGUGAAGAAGGCCUUCGGGUUGUAAAGCCCUUUUGUUGGGAAAGAAAUCCAUCUGGUUAAUACCCGGGUGAGAUGACGGUACCCGAAGAAUAAGCACCGGCUAACUUCGUGCCAGCCGCCGCGGUAA
rnacentral:rRNA from 1 species